rnacentral:rRNA from 1 species
UACAGAGGGGGCUAGCGUUGUUCGGAAUUACUGGGCGUAAAGGGCGCGUAGGCGGCCCUCUAAGUCGAACGUGAAAUCCCCGGGCUCAACCCGGGAACUGCGUCCGAUACUGGAGGGCUCGAAUCCGGGAGAGGGAUGUGGAAUUCCAGGUGUAGCGGUGAAAAUGCGUAGAUAUCUGGAGGAACACCGGUGGCGAAGGCGGCAUCCUGGACCGGUAUGACGC